AUGGAUGGCCUCCUCCAUUGGGAUUUCUCCCCCAGCCUCAGGGUCGAGGAACAGGUGCGUAAAUGUUUUGGAUCUAUGGUCCAUUUUGUCCCCAACCCUAACUCCAAGGAGUUCUUCCUUGAAGUUUCCUUCUCCUCGGCCUCAUUUCCUCUCUCAGUUGAAUCGGUGGGAUUGGCCUUACAAUCUUGUAUUGGAGGUCUCAAUGACGGUUUCAAUGUGCUACGACUGGGUGAUCGUCAUUUUCGGUUCUCGUUCGAUAGGCAUGAGAUAUUCUGUUUCCGAACCCAAACCUUGUGUACCUGCGUAUCCCGAUUAGUACGAGCAUACCAACCUCUGCAGGGUUAUCUUCCAUAG
rnacentral:rRNA from 1 species